ACAAGCCUGUGAUGUUUAGUUAUCCCUGUCUGAAAAUCUUGAGUGAAGGAAAGUAAUCUAUUCUGAGGCUUGC
ensembl:snoRNA small nucleolar RNA, C/D box 1A